GGGGUNAGCGGGCAGNACUUGCNAGUAUUUUGGUGGGAAGAUUCAGGCUUGGACACGAUCGUUGAGGGCUCUUAUGUAUAUGUCGUGUUCGCACGGUGUAAUUGUGGGCUCUUUACUCGGUUGUGGAUGCGCCGCAUUUCUUCUCAUCAUCCGGGUUGCGAGCAACUGAGUUUGGCAAUUUAUGUACUAUGGAUUAUUGCGGGCCCUUGUUGGUUCGAGUAGCUAAGUAUUUAAUUGCUAUUGCGGUUGUAAGAAUAAAAGCGAGCAGGCCUUUAUNNUGGGCGGUCAAACUUUCACUCGAGUAUUGUGAGCGUGAUGUGUGGACGGGUAACCGUAGCACGUUGUUCUCGCGAAUUGUCGGGGAGGAUGGUUUUGGCACUGUUUGUGGAUAUUGCAAUCUAAAGGCUGCGUGGUCUGCCUGU
rnacentral:rRNA from 1 species